rnacentral:rRNA from 1 species
AUGGGACACACGAUGCAUCCUGGUGCGCUUAACCCACAGCCAUCAUUUGGAUUUGACAUGGAUGAUGUAGUAAGAAUGUACAUCCGAUACACACUGAACGGAAAACAAUUCAAUCCUGAUGUGGUUCUGGAUCUCAUACGUCUUAGGAAAGCAUCAAUGUUUGAAGAUAAUGAAGUUGCUGAAAUUCUGAAUCAGAUAUCAAGACGAAUUGUUCGGGAAAAAGUGGAUGAGCUCGAGGAGGUGUUCUACGAGGAGGUCGGUGCUGCAUUUUCCGACACAUGGGUCCUGCCGUCUUGUGUCAGUUGGGUUUGA